CAAAGUAUAGCUUAAACAAAGCCCCUCGCUUACCCCGAGGUUAUGUUUGUUAGAACCAGGUUACUUUGA
rnacentral:tRNA from 1 species